rnacentral:rRNA from 1 species
GACGGAGGGUGCAAGCGUUGUUCGGAAUUACUGGGCGUAAAGGGCGCGUAGGCGGUCUGUUAAGUUCGGUGUGAAAGCCCCCGGCUUACCCGGGGAACUGCGCCGGAAACCGACAGACUCGAGUACCGGAGAGGAGGGUGGAAUUCCUGGUGUAGCGGUGAAAUGCGCAGAUAUCAGGAGGAACACCGGUGGCGAAGGCGGGUCUCUGGGCCGAUACUGACGCUGAGGAGCGAAAGCGUGGGGAGCGAACAGG